AUUGAACGCUGGCGGCAGGCUUAACACAUGCAAGUCGAGCGGAGAUGAGGUGCUUGCACCUUAUCUUAGCGGCGGACGGGUGAGUAAUGCUUAGGAAUCUGCCAUUUAGUGGGGGACAACAUUCCGAAAGGAAUGCUAAUACCGCAUACGUCCUACGGGAGAAAGCAGGGGAUCUUCGGACCUUGCGCUAAAUGAUGAGCCUAAGUCGGAUUAGCUAGUUGGUGGGGUAAGGGCCUACCAAGGCGACGAUCUGUAGCGGGUCUGAGAGGAUGAUCCGCCACACUGGGACUGAGACACGGCCCAGACUCCUACGGGAGGCAGCAGUGGGGAAUAUUGGACAAUGGGCGGAAGCCUGAUCUAGCCAUGCCGCGUGUGUGAAGAAGGCCUUUUGGUUGUAAAGCACUUUAAGCGAGGAGGAGGCUACUAGUACUAAUACUACUGGAUAGUGGACGUUACUCGCAGAAUAAGCACCGGCUAACUCUGUGCCAGCCGCCGCGGUAAAAC
rnacentral:rRNA from 1 species